rnacentral:rRNA from 1 species
UCGACCUGAACUCAGACGUGAAUACCCGCUGAACUU